rnacentral:rRNA from 1 species
UACGGAGGGGGCUAGCGUUGUUCGGAAUUACUGGGCGUAAAGCGCGCGUAGGCGGCUUUGUAAGUCAGAGGUGAAAGCCUGGAGCUCAACUCCAGAACUGCCUUUGAAACUACAUCGCUAGAAUCAUGGAGAGGUUAGUGGAAUUCCGAGUGUAGAGGUGAAAUUCGUAGAUAUUCGGAGGAACACCAGUGGCGAAGGCGGCUCACUGGUCCAUUACUGACGCUGAGGUGCGAAAGCGUGGGGAGCAAACAGG